AGCAGAAGCAGCGACAGUGACAGAGACGUCGACGUCGUCAUGGCUGACUGAUAAAAGUGCAGAUGACAGACAGCAAGAGCAUCGUUAUCGUUAUCAGCAGCAGCAACUGCAGAGCAACAGCGGGAGUUUGUUUACCCCGCCGCGACGUGUAUCCAUCAAGAGUCAUAAGCAUAGUUAUAUAUCCACACUCCAUAAAGACCUCAUUGCAGUAUUUUAUACAAAUAGACGACGGCGACAACGAAAUACGUGAAUCGUUCACGUAUCGGCGGCCAAUGGGCAACGUUGCGGUGGGAAUGGCAGGCGGGUUUGGAAGGCGGCUGCGGGUGCGGGUUGCGGUACUGACGAGCUGCCCAAAAGCGGUUUCAACAUGAUUUUUGUUGGGUAGCUGCUAAGCUAAUUUCAAAACAAAAGGCGCGCACUCAUCGCGACGCAUCAUGUAAUCUAAUUUUUACUUAUGUAUGUAUGUAUUUCUUAAUUGUUGGCAGCAUUUUCAGCUGAAAGAAAAAUAUACAAAACAGCUGAGCGCGA